GUAUAUGAUGUACAAAAGUUUUUGAUACUUUUAGAGAUAGUUUAACUCUAUC
rnacentral:tRNA from 1 species